UUUCGAUGAUAUAUUACGUGCGCACCGUUCCAUCGCGAUUACGGACUUAAUAUUUUACGAUAUGUGAAUGUGCCCACGUCCAUUCGCGUGUGAGCGUCACAAAACGUAAUAUGUUACAAACUCGGAGUUGCUCGCUGCGAUAUAUAUUUUCGAAAAGUAGAAUACAGUGUAUACGUGUUUUGUGGAAUAGCGCAAUACGUGCUACGGGGAAAAGCCUGAGCUAUGCUGCAGCAGAGAAACAAGAAUGGAGUAUAGAUAUACGAAUAUUUGUGUGUACCUGCAUUUUCGAUUUAUUCUCGAAGGAGUAGCAUGAGUUAUGUCGAGAUAUGGACCCUGGGGAGUGGGCACGUUCGCAGCACCGACAUUGGAGUGCAUCUAGAAGCUAAGCUCACGUAUAUAGAUGGGAGGGAAUAGAUUACAAGAGGGAAAAGGAAAGGUGAAUGGCUCACACAUUGAAGAAAGGUUGGAUGCGGUGCAUGCAAAGUAAGAUAGCGAGGGGAACAGAGGCAGGAGAGAUGGAGCAGAAAAGCUUCUUGUACAAUAUGUUCAAACGAUCUAAAGACUCAACGUUCUCUCUUACAACACUAACGUUAUCGACCUUUGAGGCGUAUGGAGGAGCACAAAAACCCCGAAUCUUGACCCGGAAAUGGAGAGCCUUUAUAUAGCCUAAAGGGUUACAAGGCUCGUCAUUUUCACCCACCAGCAUCAUUUCUCUUGUAUUAUCUUUGUUCUUUUUUAUUUAUGUGACCACGUACCAUCGAUUUUCCAUUUACUGUGUGGAUUAGCCUCGUAUAUAAUGUACAUUCAAUCUCAUUCAAGUCUCUCCUCUCCUUUUGGGAGAUUACCUCUUAUCGUCAAGCUGCCUUUCUUGCACAAUAUUUACUCGCCACUGAAUAACGAAGGGUUUUACGUUGUGCAUUUUUUU